GGAAAGCAUCCACUGCAGUUGCAAAGAAAUUGCCAAUUCAACUUCUCUACCGUCCUCCCUCGUUUUCAAUUGGUUUAACAGCAUCACUAGGCUUAGCCCAUAAGGCUUUAGCACUAUAUAAAUGGAGUAUAAAUAAAAUGUUCUUUUAUAACAAGUUCGUUACUUAGUUAUAUCUCAUUGCUUCUUAGAGAAACUGACACGCAUAUUUCGUGACUUUCACGCGCCUCUCUCUUUGAUAGCCAUUUCUGCUAUUCUCUCGCCCUCUCUCUCUCUGUCUGUCUCUCUCUCUCUCUCUCUCUCUUUGUGCGCAUCACACUCACAGGUCCUCGCAAAUAUCUUCGCCAUCGAAUCGAGUUCGCUCCUUCUUCAGAUUCACCGAACUGUGAACCCUAGGCUUACCUGAAUCAUCGAAAAAAUGGUUUCCUUUGAGAUGAAUGACCGAAAGAAGAUUGGAUUAGGACUGACAGGAUUUGGCGUAUUUUUCUCAUUCCUGGGGAUUAUCUUCUUCUUUGACAAGGGAUUGCUUGCCAUGGGAAACAUACUCUUCUUCUCAGGGGUGACUCUGACCAUUGGACCGAAGUCUACCAUGCAGUUCUUCAUGAAGCGUCAAAAUUUUAAGGGAACAAUUUCAUUUGGUGUUGGCUUCUUCUUUGUUGUCAUUGGAUGGCCAAUUGUGGGCAUGAUUUUGGAGUCAUACGGGUUCAUUGUACUCUUCAGUGGCUUCUGGCCAACACUGGCAGUUUUCUUGCAAAGGAUACCUAUUCUCGGUUGGUUGAUCCAACAGCCAUAUAUCAGAUCGUUCUUUGACCGGUAUCGGGGUAAGCGGGUGCCUGUAUAAGCCAGGAAAAGAUUCCAGAAAAGUUGCAGAGAGGCCCAGUCGUAAGUUCUUGUAAUAUACAGUCAAAUCGAGACCCAUAAUUUUUUCAUUUGGUUGACGUGGUGGCUGUAGAAAAGAAUACUCAUUUGAUGAUGAGAUUUAUCUUUUAUCAAAAGAAAGUUAAUCUGGGCUAUAAUAUGUACUAUUCCAGGGUUUAUGUUACUGGAUCAGAAGUUGUUUCAGACUUAACCUCUCUGGUGCAUGUUCCAAUAUUCAAGUUACCAUUGAUUAUCCCACUGGAAAUGACUACCCAAACCCAAAAAAAGAAAAAAGAAAAUGAAGAAGAUAGACUAGCUGAUCUAAUAUUGUUGCUAUCAUUGACUUAUUGUUGCUCAUGAUUAUGAAGACGAAGAUCUUGAUCUUUUUAUGCAAUCCCAAUCUCAGUCAAUGGUAGGAAAUGCCUGGUUCUUUCAAAGGUAUUAUGAUAAUGGUUUCUUUUUGGUAUUGCUUUCAGUUGGUACCAUUUAUUCGAGCUGUGCCCCCAAUGUUUCUCUGAUCGUGUAACAGAUAAUCCAAUAGGUAGGUGGUGAUUAGAGUCAUUAGACCAAAAUAAAUGAGUGAUUUUAGGCAGUUUGAUUAAAGAUCUUCUGUUGGAUUGUAACUAUUUUGGACAAUAUACUGCUGAUUGUUUGUUUGGUCAA